AGCGAACGCUGGCGGCGUGCCUAACACAUGCAAGUCGAACGUGAAAAGGGAAACCUGUGUAAAGUGGCGUACGGGUGAGUAACGCGUAGGUAAUCUACCCCAGAAUCUGGAAUAACCUGCCGAAAGGCGGGCGAAUACUGGAUAGAGCGAGGGAACUCGUAAGAGAGUUUUUCGGGAAAGGGAGCCCGCCAGGGCCUUCGUUCUGAGAUGAGCCUGCGUCUGCUUAGCUAGUUGGUAAGGUAACGGCUUACCAAGGCGAUGAUGUGUAGCUGGGCUGAGAGGAAGGGUAGCCAAACUGGGAAUGGAACACGGUCCAGGCCUCUAAGGGGAGGAGCAAGGGGGGAACUUGCGCAAAGGGGGGAAAGCUUGCGCCAGCCCGCCGGGUGGGGGAAGAAAGCCCUCGGGGUGGUAAGCUCUGUCUGUUGGGACAAAAAACUUCAUGGUUAAUACCUAUCUGUACUGACGGUACCAUAAAAGUAAGCACCGGCUAACUCCGUG
rnacentral:rRNA from 1 species